CAGCCGCCACGGUAAUACAGAGGGUGCGAGCGUUAAUCGGAUUUACUGGGCGUAAAGCGUGCGUAGGCGGCUUCUUAAGUCGGAUGUGAAAUCCCUAAGCUUAACUUAGGAAUUGCAUUCGAUACUGGGAAGCUAGAGUAUGGGAGAGGAUGGUAGAAUUCCAGGUGUAGCGGUGAAAUGCGUAGAGAUCUGGAGGAAUACCGAUGGCGAAGGCAGCCAUCUGGCCUAAUACUGACGCUGAGGUACGAAAGCAUGGGGAGCAAACAGGAUUAGAUACCCCAGUAGUCCCUGUCUCUUAUAC
rnacentral:rRNA from 1 species